ensembl:lncRNA
UGCAUAUUUGCCACAUAGCGUGAAUAGCUACAAUAAAAUACAGGGGAAGGUGCCCUGAUUAGCUUCAGCAGCGUGAGUAGUCAGGACUACACCUGGAUUUGAACCAGACCUGCAGAAAUGCCUCAAGUAGGACUAGGUAAUCCAGAGACAAAGGAAGUCUCCCCUGAUGGAUGCAGAAUGAAAGACGACACUCCCGGCAGCACCACCUCCGGCAACAGCAAUCAGAAGGAGAGCAGGGGAACCUCUCCAUAGCUGCCCGAGAAGUCUCAGAGGUAGAACAGCUGCAUGGGUGCCAAGAGUAUUUGCAGACACCAGACGUGGGAGCCUGCAGAGUGCCUGAGCUUUCAAGUGCUCACAGCCGAUGUAGGUAGGAGCAGCGUCAUCCCAGCCUGAUGAGGACCACCUGGAGAAACCAGAGACCCGAAGCCCAAGACACCCCACCCUGCUCACGCAGCCUGAAGAUUGAUUCAGGGAAGUUACACCGCCCAUAGUGUGACAUGCAACUGUUAUUUCUUGAAAGAGUACCCGUCAAAAUCACUAGUCAUUAAAAACGAUCAAGGUAAGGUUAAAAAUUACAAAGGUGAAGACUUGAUCCAACUAGUUUACCUGAAGGAAGGGAAGAUCAUCUCUUGGGCAAAACCCAUCCCAACGGUGAAUAAAAGAAUCCAGACACUUAGCCAUUGCCCUUCCCCUCGGUUUUCUCAGGAAUAGGCAACACCUCUUUGAUGGAAGAGAUCUGGGUUCAGAUCCUGAAUCCUCUGCUUACUAGCCAUGACGACCUGGCCAGGCAACUGCACUUAUCUGAAGUUCUGUUCACUCUUCUACAUGAUCUGGGACUAUUGUGAGAAUUCAGAGAUAAUGUACAUACGGGGCCCAGCUCUGAAUGGGCACAGAGUAAGUAUGAAUGAAAUAGUCGUGAAUUUGGCUGUAACCAUCAUUAUUUGACCACUGUGUGCCCAUAUCUAACCAUGACCAUCACCAACCUAGGCAAGCUGUUUCAACAGGUGAGAAGCAGGCUUUGGUUGGACAGAGCUGCCUGGACUUCACAUCCCAGUAACAGCACAGAGCCAGCACUGGACACUGGUUGGCUUAAAGCAUGGAUCUUCAACCUCAAUUGAUAUUUUUGGACUGGAUACUUCUUUGAUUGAGAGACCUAACCAGCCUUGUAGGAUGGCGAGCAGGAUUUCCCAGCCUCUACUCAUUAAAUGCCAGAAGCAUCCUUCUCUAAUUGUCACAACCAAAAAUGUUUCCAGGCAUUGCCAUAUGUUCCCCCAGAGGCAAAAUCACCCUGGUUGUACUGCUGGUCUAGUGACAUAUCAGGAAUGGGUUUCUCAGGUGGGGUCAAAGAAUCCAUCCAAAGUUUCUGGUUACAAAUCACCUGCCCAGGGUUACCUUUCUCUGGCAAAGCAAUGAAGAACAUUCACCUCAUAUAUUUUAAAAGCACUGCAUUCCAAGGGAGGAGAAUGAACUGGGGAAAUAAUUUGGUGGGCAUGUAGUCUGUGACUACUCAUUGCUGCCUGAUGAAAUGGUAAGAUUUUCUGAAGCUCAAGCAUAGACCAGAUGUUGGCAGGAGCCCCUUAUUCCUGGUUAAACACUGUAACUGGUCAGCAGCAUUCUUUCCAUGGAUAUUUAUCACUCUCCAGUUAAACAUACCAGAGCACUGCUCCAAUC